CUUUUAUUCUUAAAAUAUCUCCCACGCAAUGGAAGCAUUGAGUUUUGUACAGUCACACAUUCAGUGUGUUACUCUCAAGACCACACAACACUCAAAAAUACGUUUCGCGAUUUCUCCAUAGAAAAAGGUGCACAAAUUAGAAAAAAUGGAUCUCAUCGGUUAUGUUAAUAUAAAACAACAUAUCUCGGUAAUUAAUUUAAUUCGAUUUCUCUGCCUUCCCUUACACUACCACACGGUCGAUUUCUAAUUUACGCGUAAGUACUCGCAGAAAGAUUGCCUGUCAUUGUUAGUUUGUACAACUGCUUAUUAUUAUCAAUCUUUGUGGUAGGUACCUACAAUUUUUACUUGAAAUUAAAUGAGAAGUAAGUACGUUACGCUCGAAAUAAAAUCUUGAUUCUCUUUAUUUCUCUUGAAAUACGCACGUUCACUUUUACUUAUAGCGGAAGUUCUAACUGCAACGUUUUCCGUGUUAAAGUGACCAGACCCGAAACGGCGUUUGCUUACAACAAUCGUUUAAAAUUAAAAAAAUAUCGUUUUUAAGACUGAAAGUUGCAUCACAGCUUGUGCAAUCAAAUUGCACGUCGUUAAUGUCAUUAUAAUGAAAUUAUUAGUAAUCAACCGCGGGACGUUCCGAUUAUUUAGGUUUUCGCCAUUGUAUUUAAUAAACGAAACCAUUGACACAUAUCGAAUCAGUGCGCAUAUAAUAACUUAAUCGUGAUGUACGAAUACAAUAAGUUGCAUUUCGCCAUAAUUCAGUGACUCGCCUAAGCAUUCGCUUGCAGAAUUUCAAGUUGAAAUUACGGCUCGUGAACAUAUAAAUAUCGAUUUUGUAACACGUUGUUGAGGUACUUCAAGGAUGGUACCCAUUUUGGGAACACUUGUGACAUCAAUUUAUUUUUAUAUCCGCUAUAUCUACAUCAUUUGUACAGCAACCGUCAAGGAAGCUUAAUUUGUGUAUUACACAUGCACACAAGAAUACGUGUUUAAUAUUUCAAAAACGUGCCUUUCAUAGGUAUGUAGGUCUUCCUCAAAUAUGAUGUGGUUUACCUACUUACCAAGAAUGAAUAUUGGGAUUGGGAAUUCAGAUACGAAUGAAAGUCAGAACAAAGUCAAAGCAAUCGUUGUUUUCGUGACAUUUGUACUCCAGUCGACUGGGAAAGUAAUAAAAGAACACAUUAAAUAUUCAGAUAAUGAUGGAAUUUAAAUUUCAAUUUAUUGUGACACAUUUCGGGCAUAUCAUCACGAAUGUUGGCCUUCAAUUGAUCAAGCGUUUGAGGAUUGUUCGCGUAAACACGAUAUUUCGCAUACCUCCACAAAAGGACAUCCAAAGGCACCAAAUCGCGGGUUCUUUAAGGUCAAUUUACUGCUAUGUUAACCAGGGGUACAUCGAUGGAAGCUAUCGGCUUUACUAAACACUCAGUGCUUCGACGAACUGAAAACGGCCGCUUCUUUACGAGAAAUUGUAGUUCUGGACCUUUUUACUUAUUUUCUAGGAGUUGGAACUAGAAGUCGUUCCCGUAGAGAUAUUAGCAGUAUCCGAAAGCUCCCUUCGAUUGGAAGAGGAGGGAAAAUGAAUAUUGUACAAAUGAGUGGCCGAUUUCAAUUGCUCAGUGGUAAUUUAAAACUAGGAUAGAAACCGGCAAGGUCGCUCGCUUGCACGUAGAUAAAUCUAAUAAAGUAACCCGUCGCUUGACUCAAAAAUGGCAAUUAACAAUGAGUCUUACUGGACCACCGAAUUUGGAAACUUCAACCAGGCUAUUUGAUUGAGUAUACUAUAAAUACCGGUAGCUAAUCAAUUGUAUUGCAGCAAACAUCGUCUGCUUAGAUCUUGUCUAGUGUAAUUGGCAUGAGUUUUGGGACUGGUCCCGCAAUUGUAUGAUGACGGGAAGCCAAAAAUGUUGAACGUUAUCACCCAAGCCGGCCGGCUGGAAAAUCUGAGUUCCAUUUCCACCUCGAUUUCCACAUUCCACAUUUUUUGGGAAUUCUAUAUAAGGUAACAGCAUGAUUUAGAGAGAGCUUUGUGAUCUGUCGAUAUUGUCGCAUUUUCAAAGUGUUCAAUUUUGCAUUAUACCGUACCGUUUAAUUUCAAGGGUCGCGCUUGAUAUUUUCAUUCAGUUAAUUAUAAAACGGAUUUUCUUUCCUUUGUUUUAUUUCCCGUUAAGUCGUACUUCCGUUCCUGCUUUGGGAAACCGAUAACGUUUCCGUGUACCGUAAUUCUGUUUGAGAUUAUUCGCUAGUAACCGACCGCCCGUUCCCUGGAAUCUACGUUUCCUCCAUCUGAUUACCUGGAGGGUUCCGAAACCGUACCGAAUACGCCGACCGUGCCCAGAAGCAGGAUUUCCGAACCUCCUGGUGGCGCUCAGGAUACGGUACCGUCCCGCUAACUGUCGCCGUGCUCACCGUUUUAUUUUGUAAAUUAAAAAUUACAUAUAAUUGUAUUUUCUUGUGGCUUAAUUAAAUUGUAUUUUUUUUUAA